GACGAACGCUGGCGGCGUGCUUAACACAUGCAAGUCGAACGGAAAGGCCCUGCUUUUGCGGGGUGCUCGAGUGGCGAACGGGGGAGUAACACGUGAGUAACCUGCCCUUGACUUUGGGAUAACUUCAGGAAACUGGGGCUAUAACCGGAGAGGAUCUCCUGCUGCAUGGGGGGGGUUGGAAAGUUACGGCGGUGGGGGAUGGCUUGGCGGGUUAUCAGCUUGUUGGUGGGGUAGUGGCUUACCAAGGCUUUGACGGGUAGCCGGCCUGGGAGGGUGGCCGGCCACAUUGGGCCUGAGGUACGCACCAGACUCCUACGGGCGGCAACAGUGGAAAAUAUUACACAGUGGGGGCGCGCCUGAUGCAGCGGCCCCCCGUGCGGGAUGCCGGCCUUCGGGUUGUAAACCGAUUUCGCCUUUGACGAGGCGGUCGUGACGGUAAUGGGUAAAAAAGCACCGGCUAACUACGUG
rnacentral:rRNA from 1 species